CAGCCGCCGCGGUAAUCCAGAGGGUGCAAGCGUUAAUCGGAAUUACUGGGCGUAAAGCGCGCGUAGGUGGUUUGUUAAGUUGAAUGUGAAAUCCCCGGGCUCAACCUGGGAAUGGCAAUGGAUACUGGCGAGCUAGAGUGUGUCAGAGGAUGGUGGAAUUCCCGGUGUAGCGGUGAAAUGCGUAGAGAUCGGGAGGAACAUCAGUGGCGAAGGCGGCCAUCUGGGACAACACUGACGCUCAUGCACGAAAGCGUGGGGAGCAAACAGGAUUAGAUACCCCUGUAGUCCCUGUCUCUUAUAC
rnacentral:rRNA from 1 species